AUUGAACGCUGGCGGCAGGCUUAACACAUGCAAGUCGAGCGGGGGAAGGUAGCUUGCUACCGGACCUAGCGGCGGACGGGUGAGUAAUGCUUAGGAAUCUGCCUAUUAGUGGGGGACAACAUCUCGAAAGGGAUGCUAAUACCGCAUACGUCCUACGGGAGAAAGCAGGGGAUCUUCGGACCUUGCGCUAAUAGAUGAGCCUAAGUCGGAUUAGCUAGUUGGUGGGGUAAAGGCCUACCAAGGCGACGAUCUGUAGCGGGUCUGAGAGGAUGAUCCGCCACACUGGCACUGAGACACGGCCCAGACUCCUACGGGAGGCAGCAGGGGGGAAUAUUGGACAAUGGGGGGAACCCUGAUCCAGCCAUGCCGCGUGCGUGAAGAAGGCCUUAUGGUUGUAAAGCACUUUAAGCGAGGAGGAGGCUACUCUAGUUAAUACCUAGGGAUAGUGGACGUUACUCGCAGAAUAAGCACCGGCUAACUCUGUGCCAGCAGCCGCGGUAA
rnacentral:rRNA from 1 species